rnacentral:rRNA from 1 species
UACGAAGGGGGCUAGCGUUGUUCGGAUUUACUGGGCGUAAGGCGCACGUAGGCGGAUCGUUAAGUCGGGGGUGAAAUCCUGGAGCUCAACUCCAGAACUGCCUUCGAUACUGGCGAUCUAGAGUCCGGAAGAGGUGAGUGGAACUCCUAGUGUAGAGGUGGAAUUCGUAGAUAUUAGGAAGAACACCAGUGGCGAAGGCGGCUCACUGGUCCGGUACUGACGCUGAGGUGCGAAAGCGUGGGGAGCAAACAGG